GCAAGCAGCCAUAUAACCCUACAACUCUCAACUGUCAGCCCACUGAAACUCAGGAGGUGUGAGCCUGGUCAGUACCUGGAUGGGAGACCUCCUGGGAAAAACUAAGGUGCUGCUGGAA
rnacentral:rRNA from 1 species